AUCAUUUAGACACCUUCAAACUUUAAGUGACAUAUCAAUGUAGUGCCCCUGAGACACAAUGGGACAUGCACUCUCAAGGUUGGAGUAUUUACUUGCCAGUUGAGGCUUAGUUCGAGUGUAUUUAAUUUCACCAGAAUGUAGCUAAAUGGAGACUAUGUGCUCAUGGUACAGGUUCUUAAAAGGGGGAAGAUUUAGUCUGAUGACCAAGACAAACACAGAUACAUAUUAAACAAACAAAAAUGGAUCUGUAUCUGGUGAUCCUACAAAGUAUACCCAAAGCAACAAUUUCCAACAUAAGAGUACAUUGAUAGCCAGUCUCGAGAUAACACGUGUGCUAAAACACGUUUUCCCAGACAUUCGAGGGGAAACAGCAGUCAUUAGCCGAUACAUACGUCUCAACGACAACAACAUCACUACAACAGAGUGUUUGAACUAACGAGCUCUUGUUUUGACGAAUUUGGUUCUUGAAGCUUUCUUCUCCAGUUUCUCUCUUUUCUUUCGGGUCUUCUCAUCCUCUUCAGCAUCCUCUGAACCUUGAGGUAAAAAUCCUUUGAUAAGUCCGGAGAGCUUGUACGCUGCAAAUGCAGGUAUCACUAGAUAUGUGUACCAGAACUUGUCGGAGAUGAUAGAAGCCAAUUGCACGAAACAUGUAAUGUAGAUUAUAUCAUGUAAAUAUCCACAAAUUCCACCAGUACUCAUAUCAUAUCCACCAUCAAACAUCUCCCCAUCAUCACCAUAACUCGGCUUCGCCAUUGAAGCUAAUUGUUUGUACGGUAAAACAUAUGCCAAUGAAGUCAACAAUAAUCCAACAAUAUGCUUCCAUGUGAAACUUGAAUAGAAAAUUCCACCUCUCACUAAUAAAUAAAUCACGUUGCAGGCAAUGAUGACUUGAAAUAGUUUCUUCAUAUGACGAGUAUUUUCUUCCUUGCGCUUUUUUGCUCCUUGAUUCGCCAUUUCUG
rnacentral:misc_RNA from 1 species